rnacentral:rRNA from 1 species
GAUGAACGCUGGCGGCGUGCCUAAUACAUGCAAGUCGAGCGAACGGACGAGAAGCUUGCUUCUCUGAUGUUAGCGGCGGACGGGUGAGUAACACGUGGAUAACCUACCUAUAAGACUGGGAUAACUUCGGGAAACCGGAGCUAAUACCGGAUGAUAUUUUGAACCGCAUGGUUCAAAAGUGAAAGACGGUCUUGCUGUCACUUAUAGAUGGAUCCGCGCUGCAUUAGCUAGUUGGUAAGGUAACGGCUUACCAAGGCAACGAUGCAUAGCCGACCUGAGAGGGUGAUCGGCCACACUGGAACUGAGACACGGUCCAGACUCCUACGGGAGGCAGCAGUAGGGAAUCUUCCGCAAUGGGCGAAAGCCUGACGGAGCAACGCCGCAUGAGUGAUGAAGGUCUUCGGAUCUUAAAACUCUGUUAUUAGGGAAGAACAUAUGUGUAAGUAACUGUGCACAUCUUGACGGUACCUAAUCAGAAAGCCACGGCUAACUACGUG